rnacentral:lncRNA from 1 species
CCCACACCCUGCCAAUGCCCCGCCCCGCUCACCCCAGCUCCUUUCUCCAGCAGCCUCUGAACUGCAGUGGGUAAUUUUUUCUGGGUUUCAGUUAAUAAAGGAUUUGCAGGCAUAGAGUCAGUAAAUUCCUUGAGAAAACAGUCCAAGACUCUUUUGUACAUCCAGAAGUGGGCAUCAAGCAAUGAUAUUUGGAUGAAUAACAAUGAGUGGAUGAGUACACUGGAGAAUGGGAAAGCCAACCUUGAGAAAUGCCUCUUGGGACCUUCGCAUUUGGCUAUUUACAGAGCACAUGUGAUGACAAACAGGUUCAUCUAGAAAACUUGAAGUUGCCCAGCUGAUACCACCUGACUCUGCUACUCUUGUUAGCAUGCUGUCUUUAAUUUUUAGAAGUUUUCCCUCCAGUUAAUGUGGAAUAUGACAAAUCCCAGUUUGGCUUUCUGAAGUCACAGAAAAUAAAGCUUGCACCAGUGGAAUAAUGGUCUCCUCCAAGGAAGUAGAGCUCACACAGACUGGGAGGAAGGACGAAUCUAGAGGCGGAUGUGAUCUGCAAGCUAUUUGCACGGAAAUGGACGGCGCGGUUCUCAGGAGGAAAUGCAGAUAAUAUAACGCUAGAUAUAGAAAGACAGAAAAUUUCAUACGCAAUAUGAUCUCAACGUUAGAAAAAUAUACAUGGCAUAAAAGAAACUUGUAAAAUUUUAAAUAAAAUGUUAAUAUUGCUACUUUAGGUGGAAAAAAGUAACUUUUUCUCAAUGUUUUAAUAAUUUUUCAAAGUUUUGAAACACUAAAAAUAAUAAACAAGUACACUUUUUGUUUUUAAGAGUUUUCUUGCUCUCUUCUUAAUCAGACAUCAGACUAUUACCAAACAUCAUUAAAAAUUAGCAUUAGACUGCCUUAUGUUGACAACCCAUAAUUUACUUCAUCAUUCCUAUAUUAAGCAUUUGACUUGUCUCCAGUCAUUAAUGUAAUGACUCUGUGAGGAAAAUAAUC